rnacentral:rRNA from 1 species
CAGCGCCACGAGUGGUAACCACGUUUAUUGGGCCUAAAGCGUCCGUAGCCGGUUUGAUAAAUCUUUUGUGAAAUUGUACAGCUUAACUGUACAGCGUGCAAGAGACACUGUCAAACUUGAGACCGGGAGGAGUCAGAAGUAUUCCAGAGGGAGCGGUAAAAUGUUAUAAUCUCUGGAGGACUACCUGUGGCGAAGGCGUCUGACCAGAACGGAUCUGACGGUGAGGGACGAAAGCCGGGGGAGCGAACCGGAUUAGAUACCCGAGUAGUCC